rnacentral:rRNA from 1 species
GACGAACGCUGGCGGCGUGCUUAACACAUGCAAGUCGAACGGAGUGGCGAACGGGUGAGUAACACGUGAGUAACCUGCCCUUGACUUUGGGAUAACUUCAGGAAACUGGGGCUAAUACCGGAUAGUUGGGGAUGGACUCGCGGCUUAUCAGCUUGUUGGUGGGGUAGUGGCUUACCAAGGCUUUGACGGGUAGCCGGCCUGAGAGGGUGACCGGCCACAUUGGGACUGAGAUACGGCCCAGACUCCUACGGGAGGCAGCAGUGGGGAAUAUUGCACAAUGGGCGCAAGCCUGAUGCAGCCAUGCCGCGUGUAUGAAGAAGGCCUUAGGGUUGUAAAGUACUUUCAGCGGGGAGGCGUUACCCGCAGAAGAAGCACCGGCUAACUCCGUGCCAGCCGCCGCGGUAAUAC